GCACGAGGAAGGUUAUGAACUUGGAAACUUGGAUGCAACUUUGAUUCUGCAAAGACCUAAAGUAAGCCCACACAAGGAGGCGAUCCGGGCCAAUUUGUGUGAGCUACUUGGUGCAGACCCUUCAGCCGUAAACCUGAAAGCGAAAACUCAUGAAAAAGUUGACAGUCUUGGGGAGAAUAGAAGUAUUGCAGCGCACACAGUGGUUCUCCUUAUCAGGAAGUACUAGACAGGUCGUUUGAACUAAAAAAUUAAGGAUUGCAUCUAUCAUUACUCAUGUAGUUCAAGUGCUUAGUUCUUACAGGUAAACUGAACAAUGCAAUUGAUAGUCCAAUGAGCACAAAUGUUUAAGAUAUUGUACUGAUAAUGAAUCACAAUAUGUGUGUAUUUCAAUUUGCUUCUUCACUUUUCUCACUUGGAUUUCAUAGCUAUUCCAUGUCUGAAACGGAUUCACGAACAACUGACAAGGAUGAUGGUUGACAUGAAAGGCGUUCUUUUCCUUUAGCAUUCAAUUAGCUAUGAUACCAUGCUUUGGGGAUUCUAGCUGCAAUUUUUGUUUUAUUGUAUACUCUAUAUUUGGCUCAUUAUGAAAAAUUGUUUACUUAUAAGCAAGUCACUUUUUAUCUUAACAUUUUAAGGGAUUCACAAGUAUUGUUUAUUUAUUCACCAUUCAUUUAUAACUUUAUAAUUUCAUUUCCUCAUAAAGUAUUGCAAAAUUUACACUCAACAAGCAAAACAAUUAAUUUCUAGUUUAACUUCAAAUUAUACUAGCAUGAAUGUAUGGGAAACAUUUUGUUUCUACUUCUGCCAUUAUAUAUAGUCUUUUAACAGUCUUUAAUUGAAAAUGCUCAAUAAUAAUUAAUAAUUGUUAGAUAUAUUAUAACUCAAAAAAUUUAGCCCUCGUUUGAGCCCCAUUAUAAUAAGAUUGGGCCAAUUUUUUUUGUUGUCGCUGUGAGUCUACAUUGAUUGAUGGUGCAAAUAAGUUGGAGCAAGUAAUUAUCUUCACUUGACUUUUGAAAUACUAAUGGCGGGUCUAUAAUUUGACAGUCCCAUCUUACCCUCAAGUACAUUAGUGAUGGAAAAUAAUGUGCAAUUAUAAGUAGAUGAGUAUUUUUGAGAACAGAAUUAUGAAAGUGAGGGUAUAAUGGUCCUUCAAUUUUAAAUGGUAUCUGUAAAAAAUUUCUCAUCUUAUAAAUGUACUGUGCCACCGAAAUUUUCUAAUGCCCAAGUUACUGUUGAAAAAUGUGAAUUCUCAUUUUAAAGAGAUACAAACACGUGCUUAAUUUACUUAUAAUUUAAUUCAACUCCAAAAAUUUAAAUUUAUGCUCUAAUAUUUAUUCUUACUAAAAAUUCUUUUGAAGAAAAUUGUUGAGGUUUCCUAUCUUUUCUUUGCAGCACCACCGUCAGUAUCCUCACGACCAUUUCGGGCAGAUAAAAGAAGAAAUUUCUGAAACUCUUUUUACUGCUUCAAAUAAUAGUUAUGUUACGCACCUUAUGCCAACUAUACAUAGCAGAUAAAUGCCUCAGCAUCGAAAUGAGCACACAAACUGAUACAGUAUUCAACAUGCAUGUUGAAAGAAGGGAAAAACCACACCAAGCUUCACGCUAAUAGAUAUGCUUUAGGAAAAAAAAUGAAGCAUUUAACUAGAUUCAUCAAUCAUCUAUUAUAGUCUAUAUUUUCCUUGUUUGAGCCCCAUAUUUUUGAAAAAUCAUUUUAACUACACAUUCUUUAAUAAAAUAAUAUUACACAUAAAUUUAAAAAUUUUCUUUAUUUUUUAACCACACAUUUAUUAUCAAUACACUAUUCAAAAAUUCAUUCUUUCCCCAGAAAUGGGCUCAAACAAGGGAGAAUUCCACUGCAAUAUGCAAUAUCGAACAACUUCAAUUAUUCCAACUUUCAUGUUUAACUAGACAACAAUUUUUAUGGUCGAGAGGAAACAUACCACUUUUCCUUUUGCAACGAGACUACAGUUGACAGAUUGAGGAAGAGCGGCACUAAGGAGCUCAAGGAAAAAUAAGGUGGAAGAAGUGGGUGGCUAG
rnacentral:lncRNA from 1 species